GACGUUAGCGGCGGACGGGUGAGUAACACGUGGGCAACCUACCCUAUAGUUUGGGAUAACUCCGGGAAACCGGGGCUAAUACCGAAUAAUCUCUUUUGCUUCAUGGUGAAAUACUGAAAGACGGUUUCGGCUGUCGCUAUAGGAUGGGCCCGCGGCGCAUUAGCUAGUUGGUGAGGUAACGGCUCACCAAGGCGACGAUGCGUAGCCGACCUGAGAGGGUGAUCGGCCACACUGGGACUGAGACACGGCCCAGACUCCUACGGGAGGCAGCAGUAGGGAAUCUUCCACAAUGGGCGAAAGCCUGAUGGAGCAACGCCGCGUGAGUGAAGAAGGUUUUCGGAUCGUAAAACUCUGUUGUAAGGGAAGAACAAGUACAGUAGUAACUGGCUGUACCUUGACGGUACCUUAUUAGAAAGCCACGGCUAACUACGUGCCAGCAGCCGCGGUAAUACGUAGGUGGCAAGCGUUGUCCGGAAUUAUUGGGCGUAAAGCGCGCGCAGGCGGUCCUUUAAGUCUGAUGUGAAAGCCCACGGCUCAACCGUGGAGGGUCAUUGGAAACUGGGGGACUUGAGUGCAGAAGAGGAAAGUGGAAUUCCAAGUGUAGCGGUGAAAUGCGUAGA
rnacentral:rRNA from 1 species